rnacentral:lncRNA from 10 species
AUCCCAGCUCCCAGAAGGUACCUGCCCCCCAACACAGCACACAAAAGCAGACACGUGUGCACAUUCAUGUCCCAUAGCACCCCAUUCCCUAGCCUUCCCCAGACCCAUUCCUAGUCCGUCUUGAAGAGAACACUGGGGGUGGAAAGGCUGCAGGAGAAAAGGCAGGCCCCACAAUUUCCACCACCAGGCUUUGAGCUGCUUCCUCCCUUGGCCUAGGCAGAGAACUGGCCCGUACCUGCCCACCAGAAAACAGGGGAAUUACUCAAGUGCAAGAUUAAAGGCAAUAAUGAGCAAUCAGACCGAACUGGAAUGACAGUAGGGGAAGGUGAAGAGACUUUGGGAAAAGGAAGAGCACUGAAGUCAGACCUGGCACAGCCUUUUACGAGCUAUGUAAUCUCAGGUGGGGUUCCCUGGGAAGUGGAUUCCUGAACUCUGAGAUCGUAUACAGGAGAGUGCCAGCAGGAGAGUUCUUGAGAACACCUGUGAGGUGUGAGGGAAGCUGCAAUAAGCCGAGAGAGAAACUGAAAAGCAAUGCAAUGGCAACAGAGGCUUCUGUCCAUCCCAUGGGGGCUCUCAAGCUGGGAUAACUUUGUAACCCCACAUCAACCAGUCAUUGCCCUAGGGAAAGAGCAACACCUCAGGCAAGGCGGCUUUCUUCCUCCAAAGGCAAUUCCUGGAGAGGGACUCAGCUGUGAGUCAACACUUCCACAGCUGGAGAAGUGAGUGGAGCACACCACAGAAUUCACUGUACGUAUCUCAUGGUCUUCAAAACCCAGCUCAGAGUUUACCGGCUGCCUUCCUCACCAACACCCUCUCUCAGAGUGAGAAGAGCAACAAGAGCGACAGCGGCAGCGAGGCCAAUUGAUUAUCUGAAGAAAUUCGGAGCUAGCAGUAGAACAGCUGCAGCUUCCCCCUCUCACCACCUCCAGGCCCUCAGGGAUCCCUGAGGGGAGGGGCCCCCUAAGCCCUUCUGCUCUCCAGCCCAGGCAAAGAGACAAGAGAGGGAGGCAGGGAGCCCAGAGGACUGUGGCUGCUGAGCACAGAGAAGCACAAAGCUCUCAGGGCCAGGAAUGGAAGACUUGGCUUCUAAUCCCAGGCCAUCAUCAUGGGUGAGUCACGUCACCUGUCUGGACAGUAGUUUACCUGCCUUUGAAAUAAAGUUGUUGGAUUCAGUGAUUUCUGUG